rnacentral:rRNA from 1 species
UACAGAGGGUGCAAGCGUUGUUCGGAAUCAUUGGGCGUAAAGGGCGUGUAGGCGGUUUGCUAAGUCAUGUGUGAAAGCCCUCGGCUUAACCGAGGAACGACGCAUGAAACUGGCAAGCUAGAGUACCAAAGAGGGGGGUGGAAUUCCCGGUGUAGAGGUGAAAUUCGUAGAUAUCGGGAGGAACACCAGUGGCGAAGGCGGCGACCUGGUCCGAUACUGACGCUGAGGCACGAAAGCGUGGGGAGCAAACAGG